rnacentral:rRNA from 1 species
AACGAACGCUGGCGGCAUGCCUAACACAUGCAAGUCGAACGAGACCUUCGGGUCUAGUGGCGCACGGGUGCGUAGCGCGUGGGAACCUGCCCUUAGGUUCGGAAUAACUCCCCGAAAGGGGUGCUAAUACCGGAUAAUGUCUUCGGACCAAAGAUUUAUCGCCUUUGGAUGGGCCCGCGUUGGAUUAGCUAGUUGGUAGGGUAAAAGCCUACCAAGGCGACGAUCCAUAGCUGGUCUGAGAGGAUGAUCAGCCACACUGGGACUGAGACACGGCCCAGACUCCUACGGGAGGCAGCAGUGGGGAAUAUUGGACAAUGGGCGAAAGCCUGAUCCAGCAAUGCCGCGUGAGUGAUGAAGGCCUUAGGGUUGUAAAGCUCUUUUACCCGGGAUGAUAAUGACAGUACCGGGAGAAUAAGCUCCGGCUAACUCCGU